rnacentral:lncRNA from 1 species
AUAAUAAUAAUCGACUACUUGUAAUUUCACCGGCACUCCUCCUCCUCCUCCUCCACCACCACCACUCACCGCCAAGCGUCGAAGAUUAACGAUAGAAUAGGGCAUCAAAUGAUGAACUUCACCGGAGCAGAAAAAAACUUGCAAGAACACAGCGGAGAUUACAGCGGUCACAGAUUUUCAAAGUGUUUGUUGGUUUGACCUUCACAUCCACGGUUCCUCUCUCUCUCUCUCUCUCUCUCUCUCUCUCUCUCCCUCUAUCUGUGAUUACAAGUUUGCUUGUUAAUUGCGCCGUAAGCUAAUUUUGGUAGUUGCAAUAUAGAGUCCCUUAAGAUUAUUAUUUGUCAAUUUAAACCUUUCUUUUUGCCUUAUUACCAAACACCACUUCUUAUAUAUCUUGUUUGUUUUAUAUUUAACUUUUUGUAGAACUCUCUUAUAAGGCCAUGUUAGGAUCCGAAUUUUGGAUAUGCGAGAUUCUUUUAAGACUUGAUUCUUAUAUCCAGAUUCAUAUAUGAAUAUUUCGAUACCCAAAAUUCAAAAAUGGAUACAUGGUAUCACAUUUGAUAUUGAAAUUCUAAACUUUAAUAUUUUAGGUUUUUACGGUUUUAAUUGAUAUUGUUGUUAUCUACUUUAACAUGUCAUUUAAGAACAUUCGAAAAUAUCUACUAAAUCACUUAACAAAGCAACACCUUUAAUGUAAACAAAGCAACACCUUUCAUAGUGGAAGGCUAAAACUCUUUCAAUUAGGAAAGACUGACUUUGCUCAAGUCUGUCUUGGGUGCUACCCCGACGUAUUUAGUAGGGAUGAAAAUUUCACCCAACCCGGUGGGAAACCCGGCUGACCCGUCCCAAUCAGGGANNNNNNNNNNNNNNNNNNNNNNNNNNNNNNNNNNUAUAUAUAUAUAUAUAUCGAUCAUUUAUUGAAUUUGAAUUAAGUCCACUAAAAUAAACUAAUCUAUAUUAGACCAUCAGAGAUGGAGUCCAUAUACCAAAUUAUGUUCACAAUUUCAAGAGUUCAUCAAUCGUUACUUUGUUCGGCGAUAUGUAUACCAAAUCGUCACUUUUUGUUUUCAUGCUUGUUAAACAUUACGAUUGAUGUAAACAGAAUCUAAUUGUGACAUAUGGUUUUGAUCAUUUUUUAAACUUGUUUUUUUUUUUUUUAAGUUGAGUUUAUUAUGUUGAUGAUUGGGGAUGAGUUGGGGAAAAGCCCAAAAUACAAAGGGGAGAGGAUUUGAUUCCCCGCAUCCGUCGGGGAUGGGGAUGGGGACAAGGUUAGACACUCGGGGAUGGGGACAAGGAUGGUCAACCUCGCCCCAAACCCGCCCCAUUUCCAUCCUUAUUAUUUAGAGCUCCAGAGUUUGUGGUUAACCGUUUAAAAUCAUAUCGUAAUGCUUAUUUCUUAGGGUCUAAUUUGGAAGAACGUAAUAUGACUUGGGUUAAAUGGAAGAAGGUAUUAACACACAAGCAAUAUGGUAGCCUUGGGGUUAAUAGUCUUUUUUCUCUUAACAUUGCUCUUCUCUUUAAAUGGAUUUGUCGAUUUCUUUCGUUCCCAUAUGCUCUCUGGAUGAAAGUGAUCAAAUCCAUUCAUGGAGAAAGGGGGUUAAUUGGCCAUUCUUUUUUGAGGAAUAUUUGUAUCUCCAAUUGAGUUUCAAUUAUUAAGACUUUUCAUUCAUUAUGCUCUAAAGUUGUGGAUCUUAUGUCUUUUUGUAAAAGGGUGAGUAGUGAUGGCAAGCUUAUUGCUUUAUGGGAGGAUCAUUGGAUUGGUAACAGCCCACUAAAAAAUUAUUUCCAUGGAUUAUAUGCCCUUGAAUUGGAUAAACAAAUAUGUGUUGCUACAAAGAUGCUUCAAUCGGGUUGGGAUACCUCNUCGGGGGGGGGGGGUGGGGUGUGAGGUUGAGCAGUGGUCUGAUUUCUCGGCCUUGAUGUCAUCGAUUUUAUUUCUUCAUAUGCGGAUAAGUGGAGUUGGUCGCUCGAUGCUUUCGAUGCUUUUUCUUUGAACUCUGCAAGGUCGUAAAUAAUAAGCAUCUUCUUAUUGUCUCGGAUACAGUGACACAGAUGGUGUCACCUUACUACUAUUAAAGUUAAUUUUUUACUUGGCGUCUCUUUCCCAACAAAUUACCUUCUUGGUAUAAUUUAUCUCAGAGAGGAAUAAAGAUUAAUUAUAUGUUAUGCCUACAUGUGAGAAGGAGGUUAAGACUACUACACACUUGUUCUUUGAGUGUGACAUGACCAAAGAUUUAUCGAAACUUGUAUGUAGACGGUGGAAUGUUCAGAUGCCUACUUUGUUAUCAAACCUACGCGGCUUCAACUAAUGGUUGUCAGAAGAAGGCUCGCAAUAUCGUUCGGUAGGUGGUAGUGAUAGUUGUAUCUGAAUCUUUCACCAAAUUAUAACGCACUAAGGCUAUGUUUGGCAUACUAGCUGAAAAGCUAACUGUUAGCUAGAAAGUUAGUUAAUAACUAGCUGUUAUAUAAAAAGCUAGCUGAUAGCUGAAAAGCUAGCUGAUAAAAAAUGACGUAUGGUAAAACUAGCUGAAAUAUAUAAAAUUACAUAAAAAGACAUGUAAGAGUAUGUGUUUCUAUAAUUAAUUAAGGAGUGUAUUUGAAAUUUUUUUUAAAAACUCUUAAAAAGCUAGUCUAAGUAGCUUUUCAAAAAGCUAGCUUAUAAGCUACUUUUUGACUUACUAAACACGACAGCUUUAAAAACCUCAAAAAAUAAACUAGUUUAUCAGCUAGCUACGGCGCACCAAAAACAACCUAAACCCUUCUUGGAGGUGAACCUCUAAACUCUAAAGACCAAAAUAUUUUUUUUAUAAAAAGGAAAAAGAAUUGUUUCGUAAAUAUGUGGAAUACAAAUUUUAAUAUACAUUAUUUAGAUUGAAAUAAAUAAAAUUAUAAUGUUACAAUAAAAAUAAAUCAAUUAAAAUAUAUUAUUAUGUUUUAUAGUUAGUUAACUCAAUAAAACUUAUGACAUAAUCUGUUCUUUAUCUUUUGCCCUUAAAUUUUCAAAAUACCAUAAACGUUUACUUAAUAGUUUUGUAUCUUUAUGUAGGGGAAGUAGUUGGAUAUAUGUAAGUUUAGGGUGUAUACUGACAUUAGCUGAAAGGUAAAGGGAUUGGAUAAUUAAAUAAAAGUAAUAUAAUAUUGCAAGAAAAUGUGGAAAAAUUACAUCACGUCACGAAACCAUUUUCCGAAAAUAGUUUAUCAAUUUGAAAGAAUAAACCAAGAUGCGGAAGGGAAGCAAGAAUGGUAUCUUCGGCGCCGUGUAUGCGUAUUAAUAAAACAAGUGCCACACAUGUUCAUUUUGUGGUAGGCGAUUAUUUUGACAUUCGGAAUAUGGAAUGAUGAUAUAUAUAUCGUAAUUUGAUUGGGUAGAAGCAUUUGUAGGUAUAAGAAAUAGGAAGCAAUUUAAUUUCUCAUAUCUUUUGAGAAAUUAAAUAUGGAAUGAUGACACAUGUCGUAAUUUUAUUGGGUAGAAACAUCUGUAAGUAUAAGAAGUAAGAAACAAUUUAAUUUCUCAUAACUUUUGAGAAAUUAAAUUACCCUCUACUUUUUAUACCUACAAUUAUUCCUACCCAUUUAAAUUAUGACAAAUCAUCAUUUAAUUUAAUUGUAUUUGAUAUAUUUCUAAUAUAGCUUUAAUGAGUUACAUAAAAAAAUAUGGAAUGAUGACACAUGUCGUAAUUUUAUUGGGUAGGAACAUUUGUAGGUAUAAGAAGUAUGAAGCAAUUUAAUUUCUCAUAACUUUUGAGAAAUUAAAUUACCUCCUACCUUUUAUACAUAUAAUUAUUCUUAUCCAUUUAAAUAUGACAAAUCAUCAUUUAAUUUAAUUGUAUUUGAUAUAUUCCUAAUAUAGCCUUAAUGAGUUACAUAAAAAAAAAUAUGGAAUGAUGACAGAUGUCGUAAUUUUAUUGGGUAGAAAUAUUUGUAGAUAUAAGAAGUAGGAAGCAAUUUAAUUUCUCAUAACUUUUGCAAAAUUAAAUUACCUCCUACCUUUUAUAUCUAUAAUUAUUCCUACCCAUUUAAAUUAUGACAAAUCAUCAUUCAAUUUAAUUGUAUCUGAUAUAUUCCUAAUAUAGCCUAAAUGAGUUACAUAAAAAAAUAUGGAAUGAUGACACAUGUCAUAAUUUUAUUGGGUAGAAACAUUUGUAGGUAUAAGAAGUAGGAAACAAUUUAAUUUCUCAUAACUUUUUACAAUUUAGAACUUAUAAAAAAAGAAUCCUAUAAAAACCAUGUUAUCCUUUGAUGCACUUGAGAAAUCAUUAUUUUAUUAUUAAGUGUUGGCCCAAGAAGGGGGGCAUGGGCUUUGGCUCAAGGAAAAUUUUUUGUUGGGGCAGAAAAAAUGGUCCAUUCUGUGUCAAGAAGCCCAAAAUGUCAAUUUCUGAAAUCUUUCUUCUGUUCUUCAAUUUACAUCACUGGACAAUCUUCAUACCUUCAAUUUCUAAUAUCAUUAUAUCAGCCUUCAAAGUUCAACUACUGAACUGGAGGGGAAAAAAACCCUAAGAAACUCCAUGGCAAUUUCAGAGACAACUCAUUGUAGUGCUUCAACCACGGUUAAGGUAUUUUAUUUUUAGUUUUCUGAAAGAGAGUUUGGUUUUAGCAUGUUUUUUGAUUACAUGAAAUGAAAGAAAUUCUAUUAUUUUAGUUUUCUCUUUUUUGUUUGACAGUGAAAUAUAUUUUACUUUUCUGAUAUUAAUUUGUAUUUUGAUUUUCUGAUAUUAAUUUGUUUUCUGAUUUUCCAAGAAUCAGGUUUUAGUUUACUUCAAGCCUUCAACUUGAGUUGGGAUCCUG